GGGGGCCUGACCCCCCCCUAUGGCAGGGGACAGCUGUUGGGGGCCACCGCAGAGCACCAUCCCCUGUCAGCCCAUCCCGAGCACCCAGGAGGCCACUGGCACCCAUCAACCAUGUAGGCUCCACCGCUGGUCACCAUGCACCAGGGCUGCGCGGCUGUCCUCUGUGUCCUGGCCGUGCUGGGGCUGGAGGUGGCUGCGCUGGGGGAAUGUGAGCUCGCCCGCCUGCUGCAGGACAAGCUGCGGUAUGAGAUGCGCCUGCAGUACAUGGUACGGCCCUGUCCCCU
rnacentral:lncRNA from 1 species